UACGUAGGGUGCGAGCGUUGUCCGGAAUUAUUGGGCGUAAAGGGCUCGUAGGCGGUCUGUUGCGUCGGGAGUGAAAACUCAGGGCUUAACCCUGAGCCUGCUUCCGAUACGGGCAGACUAGAGGUAUGUAGGGGGAGAUCGAAUUCCUGGUGUAGCGGUGGAAAUGCGCAGAUAUCAGGAGGAACACCGGUGGCGAAGGCGGAUCUCUGGGCCAUUACUGACGCUGAGGAGCGAAAGCGUGGGGAGCGAACAGG
rnacentral:rRNA from 1 species